rnacentral:rRNA from 1 species
ACGUAGGGUGCGAGCGUUAAUCGGAAUUACUGGGCGUAAAGCGUGCGCAGGCGGUUAUGUAAGACAGGUGUGAAAUCCCCGGGCUUAACCUGGGAACUGCGCUUGUGACUGCAUAACUUGAGUGUGGCAGAGGGGGGUGGAAUUCCACGUGUAGCAGUGAAAUGCGUAGAGAUGUGGAGGAACACCGAUGGCGAAGGCAGCCCCCUGGGUCAACACUGACGCUCAUGCACGAAAGCGUGGGGAGCAAACAGGAUUAGAUACCCUGGUAGUCCACGCCCUAAACGAUGCGAACUAGGUGUUGGGGAAGGAGACUUUCUUAGUACCGCAGCUAACGCGUGAAGUUCGCCGCCUGGGGAGUACGGUCGCAAGAUUA